rnacentral:tRNA from 6 species
GGGCGAUUAGCUCAGUGGUAGAGCGCUUCGUUCACAUCGAAGAUGUCAGCGGUUCAAAUCCGUUAUCGCCCACCA